AACGCUGGCGGCGUGCCUAAUACAUGCAAGUCGAACGGCUUUUCUAUGGAAGCUUGCUUCCACUGAGAAGAUAGUGGCGAACGGGUGAGUAACACGUGGGUAACCUGCCCAUAAGAGGGGGAUAACAUCCGGAAACGGGUGCUAAUACCGCAUAGUUUUCUUGAUCGCAUGAUCGGGAAAGGAAAGACGGCCUUUGUGCUGUCGCUUAUGGAUGGACCCGCGGCGUAUUAGUUAGUUGGUGAGGUAACGGCUCACCAAGACGAUGAUACGUAGCCGACCUGAGAGGGUGAUCGGCCACAUUGGGACUGAGACACGGCCCAAACUCCUACGGGAGGCAGCAGUAGGGAAUCUUCCGCAAUGGACGAAAGUCUGACGGAGCAACGCCGCGUGAGUGAAGAAAAGGUUUUCGGAUCGUAAAACUCUGUUGUCAGAGAAGAACAAGUUGGAGAGUAACUGCUCCAGCCUUGACGGUAUCUGACCAGAAAGCCACGGCUAACUACGUGCCAGCCGCAGC
rnacentral:rRNA from 1 species